UUGUUGGUAAGGUAAAAGCUUACCAAGGCUUCGAUCAGUAGCUGGUCUGAGAGGACGACCAGCCACACUGGGACUGAGACACGGCCCAGACUCCUACGGGAGGCAGCAGUGGGGAAUUUUGGACAAUGGGGGCAACCCUGAUCCAGCCAUGCCGCGUGAGUGAAGAAGGCCUUCGGGUUGUAAAGCUCUUUCAGCCGGAACGAAACGGUUACGGUUAACACCCGUGACUACUGACGGUACCGGAAGAAGAAGCACCGGCUAACUACGUGCCAGCAGCCGCGGUAAUACGUAGGGUGCGAGCGUUAAUCGGAAUUACUGGGCGUAAAGCGUGCGCAGGUGGUUUUGUAAGUCAGAUGUGAAAGCCCCGGGCUCAACCUGGGAACUGCGUUUGAAACUACAAGACUAGAGUGUGGCAGAGGGGGGUGGAAUUCCGCGUGUAGCAGUGAAAUGCGUAGAGAUGUGGAGGAACACCGAUGGCGAAGGUAGCCCCCUGGGUCAACACUGACGCUCAGGCACGAAAGCAUGGGGAGCAAACAGGAUUAGAUACCCUGGUAGUCCAUGCCCUAAACGAUGUCAACUAGUUGUCGGGCCUUUACGGGCUUGGUAACGUAGCUAACGCGUGAAGUUGACCGCCUGGGGAGUACGAUCGCAAGAUUAAAACUCAAAUGAAUUGACGGGGACCCGCACAAGCGGUGGAUUAUGUGGAUUAAUUCGAUGCAACGCGAAAAACCUUACCUACCCUUGACAUGUAUCGAAGCCCGCAGAAAAGCGGGGGUGCCCGAAAGGGAACGAUAACACAGGUGCUGCAUGGCUGUCGUCAGCUCGUGUCGUGAGAUGUUGGGUUAAGUCCCGCAACGAGCGCAACCCUUGUCAUUAAUUGCCAUCAUUUAGUUGGGCACUUUAAUGAGACUGCCGG
rnacentral:rRNA from 1 species